CAGAAAAUAGUUUAAUAAAAAUAUGAGUUUUGGAGAUUUAAGAUUUAUUUUUCUGA
rnacentral:tRNA from 1 species